rnacentral:lncRNA from 1 species
UGCAGCCUUGUUCGUCAAAGAAGGGGUCGUGGCAAGGAGCAGCCGGAGGUAAGACUCUGAUCAACCGUCCCUCCACUGACGUGUUGAAGCUGUUCCAGACUCGAGAAGAUGGCCAGCAAUCGUGAUCAAAUGCGAGGCAGCGGCAUGAGGAAUUCUGUGGCUCCUUGACAGAAAGAAUACCGGGAACAAAGCUGAGGAGGAGGACCAAGUAAGUUGCUCUAUGCAUUUUUUUCUGCUUGUACAUUGUCUCUUCAGAACCCGGUUUAUAUUCUGAGCGAAGCUUUUCCUGUUGUUUUAUAGCUUCCUAACCGUUAGUGUUUUGUGCUCUGGAGCCAUGUUAUGAGCAGUGUGCGUCCAUCCAGAGGAAGUAGGACGAGGAAUAAGCAAAAACAAAAUGGAAUCCUUUCCAUUUGGUGCACACAAUCCGGCUCUCACAGCUUCUCUACAGUCAAAUCCAAGGGAAAAAAGAAAAAUCAGGCCGCACAUGAACGAAUAGUCUGUGGAAACGUUGGACCCUUGUUUACUUAACUCAAUGGAAAUAUUCGUUCUGGCAUUCAGUCAUUCA